AAUCAACGCUGGCGGCGUGCCUAACACAUGCAAGUCGAACGAGAAAGGGUGAGUGUAGCAAUACAUUUGCCUGAGUAAAGUGGCGACCGGGUGAGUAACACGUGGUCAACCUACCCUCAAGCGGGGGAUAACCUGGGGAAACUCGGGCUAAUACCGCAUAACACCCCGAUGGCAUAAGUUAUUGGGGUCAAAGGCCCGCAAGGGUCACUGGAGGAGGGGGCUGCGGCCGAUUAGCUAGUUGGNGAGGUAACGGCCCACCAAGGCAAUGAUCGGUAGCCGGCCUGAGAGGGCGCACGGUCACACUGGCACUGAAAUACGGGCCAGACUCCUACGGGAGGCAGCAGUGGGGAAUUUUGGGCAAUGGGCGCAAGCCUGACCCCAGCAACGCCGCGUGAAGGAUGAAAUCCCUCUGGGAUGUAAACUUCGAAAGU
rnacentral:rRNA from 1 species